UACGAAGGGUGCAAGCGUUACUCGGAAUUACUGGGCGUAAAGCGUGCGUAGGCGGUUUGUUAAGUCUGUCGUGAAAGCCCCGGGCUCAACCUGGGAAUGGCGAUGGAUACUGGCGAGCUAGAGUACGGUAGAGGAGAGUGGAAUUCCCGGUGUAGCAGUGAAAUGCGUAGAGAUCGGGAGGAACAUCAGUGGCGAAGGCGACUACCUGGCCUGUUCUUGACGCUGAGGCGCGAAAGCUAGGGGAGCAAACGGG
rnacentral:rRNA from 1 species